rnacentral:rRNA from 1 species
UACGUAGGGAGCAAGCGUUGUCCGGAAUCAUUGGGCGUAAAGCGCGCGUAGGUGGCCUCAUAAGUCCGUUGUGAAAGUCAAAGGCUCAACCUUUGAAAGCCGAUGGAUACUGUGAGACUAGAGUACGGAAGAGGCGAGUGGAAUUCCUGGUGUAGCGGUGGAAUGCGCAGAUAUCAGGAGGAACACCAACGGCGAAGGCAGCACUCUGGGCCGGUACUGACGCUGAGGAGCGAAAGCGUGGGGAGCAAACAGG